rnacentral:rRNA from 2 species
CUUAAAUUGAAGAGUUUGAUCAUGGCUCAGAUUGAACGCUGGCGGCAGGCCUAACACAUGCAAGUCGAGCGGAAACGAGUUAUCUGAACCUUCGGGGAACGA